AGUGAUCUCAGAUAGAUGCAGCUAUGAGUCCAAUAAAAUAUGUUUCUGUUCUGCUAUAUAUAGAGCCACAUGAACCACCAUUGAUGAAGGUUUAAUCUGGUGAUGUUGUGUUUCUUCUGCAAAGAACAAAAUUAAGAUGGGAAAGAAAGCGAUACUUGCAACUUCACCUGCAGAUUCUUCCAACACUUUAUACAAAAGUGCUUCUCUGGGGCUAAUUUAAUCAUUUGAGCUUUUUCCCUCUCUAUACUGUUGACACACACACACGCUUGUUUUUUGUUUUCACUUUCCAUAAAAUACAUUAUUAUAGUUUUUUAUUUUUACUUAUUUAAUCCUAUUCUAAACAUUUGACA